GGUGCACACAAAACCCAAAGAUUAUUAUUCUGUGUAAUAAUCUUGUCUGGUGUGCACACAGCAACAGGACUUUGUCGCCUUUCUGGAGCUGAUGUGCCCAUGAAAGUGAAACUUAAGGUCCUACACUU